UGUAGCUCAGUGGCAGAGCUCUUGCCUAGGAUGCAUGAAGCACUGGGUUUGAUCCUCAGCA
rnacentral:tRNA from 1 species